UUUGGAAAUUGAUGAUUUAAUGGUUAUGUGUAAAACCUGCUGGAUUGUUGCACAUAGGAUAAUAGCACCACAUUGAAGUGCAUAAUAAUGCAGUUACUUAUUUAAACAGUUUAACAUCAAGCAGCAAGCACUCUACAUUUAACUCUUCAUUAGCUGCGCACAAUCAUGUUUUUACCUCUACUAUUCAGUAAUCAUUCUUUAAAAAAUACAUAAUAAAAUGAAUGGAUGAAAAGGGUACAAAUGCAGUGUUUGAUUUAUCAGUUUCAUACACGCCCUUCACUUACACUUCAAGUUGAGUAUUUUACCUUAGCCUGUAACACAAAAUCCUAAUGUUUGUACUGUAAUUGUGAGCUAUUGAUGAAUAAAGAUUAAAUUGUUUCUUAACAGGUAGAAAAUGCUGAAUCAUUGGAUGCUCUCAGAACUGUCAUGAUCAGAAACAGUGCUAUGUUUCAGACAGCCGGAUGUUUACGUUAUGCUCAAACUGUGGAGGAUAGAAAGACCAUUGUUAAGGACUACCUUCGGUGGUAUAUUAUAUUUAGAAAUCACUUUCAAAUUCAAAGAUUCAAGGAUGGACUGGUCACUCUAAAUCUCUACAGCAACACACAAGUGUUUUGGCUGAUUACAUGUGCUACAGUGGAAAGAAAAUGACAGCUGCUGACAUAGAGAAUCUUUUUGGAGUGGAGUUUAGCUUAGCAGGUAGUAAUAGACGCAGAGAUGAGACCAGAAUCAUGGGUUACUGGGCAGACUACCUGAUGGACUGUGAAG